AAAAAAAAUUAUUGUAGUUUAAAAAUUUAUUUAAAAAUUUAUUUUACAUAUAAAUUGUAGUAUUUUAAUUAUUUUAAAAAUAAUAUAAAUAAUUAUUAAAGUAGUAAUUAAUAUUAAAUAUUUAAGAAAUUAAGAUUUAGUUAUAUUUAAAUUAAUAACUAAUUUUGUGCCAGCAGUUGCGGUUAAACAAAAGUUAAAUUAAAUUUUAUUAGUAAUUAAUAAAUUAAAAUGUAAUAAAUUAUAAAUAUUAAAUUUUUAGGUGAAAUUUUAAUUUAAUAAAAUAUUAUUGAAUUUUUAUGAUUUAAUAAAUUAAAAAAAAACUAGGAUUAGAUACCCUAUUAUUAAAAUUUAAAUUUUAUAUGCUAAAAUAGUAAAUGAUUAUUUAUUGAAACUUAAAUAAGUUGGCGGUAUUUUAGUUCAUUUAGAGGAAUCUGUUUAAUAAUUGAUAAUCCACGAUUAAAUUUACUUAAUUUUUUUUUAUUUUGUAUAUCGUUGUUAAAAAAAUAUUUUUUAAUAAUAAUAAUAUUUAAAUUUUUAAAUAAAAAAUUAAAUCAGAUCAAGAUGCAGGUUAUAAUUAAGAAUAUAAUGGAUUACAAUAAAGUUAUUUAAAUGAAUAUUAAUUUGAAAAAAUUAAUUGAAAGUGGAUUUAAAUGUAAUUUUAAUUAAUUUAUUAAAAUGAUUAAAAAUUAAAAUAUGUACAUAUUGCCCGUCGCUUUCAUAUAUUUAAAUUAUAAUAAUUUUAAAUUGAAAUAAGUCGUAACAAAGUAGGGAUACUGGAAAGUGUUUCUAGAAAGAA
rnacentral:ncRNA from 1 species